rnacentral:rRNA from 1 species
AACGAACGCUGGCGGCAGGCUUAACACAUGCAAGUCGAGCGCCCCGCAAGGGGAGCGGCAGACGGGUGAGUAACGCGUGGGAACGUACCUUUUGGUUCGGAACAACUCCGGGAAACUGGAGCUAAUACCGGAUAAGCCCUAACGGGGAAAGAUUUAUCGCCGAACGAUCGGCCCGCGUCUGAUUAGCUAGUUGGUGAGGUAACGGCUCACCAAGGCGACGAUCAGUAGCUGGUCUGAGAGGAUGAUCAGCCACACUGGGACUGAGACACGGCCCAGACUCCUACGGGAGGCAGCAGUGGGGAAUAUUGGACAAUGGGCGCAAGCCUGAUCCAGCCAUGCCGCGUGAGUGAUGAAGGCCUUAGGGUUGUAAAGCUCUUUUGUCCGGGAAGAUAAUGACUGUACCGGAAGAAUAAGCCCCGGCUAACUUCGUG